GACGAACGCUGGCGGCGUGCCUAAUACAUGCAAGUAGAACGCUGAAGGAGGAGCUUGCUUCUCUGGAUGAGUUGCGAACGGGUGAGUAACGCGUAGGUAACCUGCCUGUUAGCGGGGGAUAACUAUUGGAAACGAUAGCUAAUACCGCAUAAGAGUAGAUGUUGCAUGACAUUUGCUUAAAAGGUGCAAUUGCAUCACUACCAGAUGGACCUGCGUUGUAUUAGCUAGUUGGUGGGGUAACGGCUCACCAAGGCGACGAUACAUAGCCGACCUGAGAGGGUGAUCAGCCAGCCUGGGACUGAGACACGGCCCAGACUCCUACGGGAGGCAGCAGUAGGGAAUCUUCGGCAAUGGACGGAAGUCUGACCGAGCAACGCCGCGUGAGUGAAGAAGGUUUUCGGAUCGUAAAGCUCUGUUGUAAGAGAAGAACGAGUGUGAGAGUGGAAAGUUCACACUGUGACGGUAUCUUACCAGAAAGGGACGGCUAACUACGUG
rnacentral:rRNA from 1 species